CAGCAGGCGCGAAAACUUUACAAUGCCGGCAACGGCGAUAAGGGAACCUCGAGUGCCAGGUUACAAAUCUGGCUGUCGUGAUGCCUAAAAAGCAUUGCAUAGCAAGGGCCGGGCAAGACCGGUGCCAGCCGCCGCGGUAACACCGGCGGCUCGAGUGGUAACCGUUAUUAUUGGGUCUAAAGGGUCUGUAGCCGGCCGGAUAAGUCUCUUGGGAAAUCUGGCAGCUUAACUGUCAGGCUUUCAGGAGAUACUGUCUGGCUCGAGGCCGGGAGAGGUGAGAGGUACUUCAGGGGUAGGGGUGAAAUCUUGUAAUCCUUGAAGGACCACCAGUGGCGAAGGCGUCUCACCAGAACGGACCUGACGGCAAGGGACGAAAGCUAGGGGCACGAACCGGAUUAGAUACCCGGGUAGUCCUAGCCGUAAACGAUACUCGCUAGGUGUCGGCCACGGUGCGACCGUGGUCGGUGCCGUAGGGAAGCCGUGAAGCGAGCCACCUGGGAAGUACGGCCGCAAGGCGGAAACUUAAAGGAAUUGGCGGGGGAGC
rnacentral:rRNA from 1 species